CGCGCUCGCGGAUACUCGCGCCGGAAAGCCGGGCACCACAACCGGACUGCAGCUGGCGGGUGCGCUGAUCUGACGUCACAGGGGCGGCCGCUCCCGCCCCACCCGCGUGGUGCCGCACCUCUGCGCAGCGGCGUUCCCGAGCCUCACAGGUGGGCAGAGAACUGCUUGGAUAGCUUCAUCACACACUGUCUUCAGACCUCAUUGGGUGAGAGCUGAGCACUCCAGCCACCUGGUUCCACAUUACAAAGAUGCAGAGGACAGUGGACCACCAGACCACUGUACUGAGUCCCGCCGCUCCCGGCCCAGAGGGCAGAGAAGCUCAGCUGGUCCCAGAACCCGGAAGGAAGCUCCCUAGGGAAGGUGAGCCACGUGGGCGCCAGAAGCACCCCCCCCCAUGGAAAUGAGAAAACACUUAAGGAAGCCUGAAAAACAGAGUUCCAGAUCACCUACAGCAACCCCAAAGGGAAACAAGAUGGAACAAUCUGAUACUCAACCACCUGGACUCUCUGAACUGGAAACAAAAGAGGAUCUGGGAAAAAUGAAAUCAGAAAUAAUUACUCAGAUAACAGCAAAGAUUUUGCUCAUGGUGCAAGACAUGAUUAAUAAAUCUAGAGAGGACAGAAAAAAAAUAGAGGCUCUGAGGAACAUGAUGGAAUCCCAACAUAGGAAACAAAUGGAAUCCAUAAAACAGAUUUCCAAGAGAUUAAAAACUGCAUCGAAAGUCUGUGCAGCAGAAUGAACCAAUGUGAGGAUAGAAUUUCACAUACAGAAGAUAAGAUUGCAAUUAGUGAGGAGGAAAAGAAAAAUUGCUUUAAAAUUGUAAGGGAACAUGAGAAAUCAAUCCAGCAGCUGCUAGAUGAUGUUAAGAAGAAUAACAUAAGACUGAUUGGAGUCAAUGAAGAAAGAGAGUGCAGAUGACAUAAAAAAUCUGUUCACAGAAGUGAUGGCAGAAAACUUCCCAAGGAGGGGAAAAGAACUUGACAUAAAGAUAAGUGAGGCAUAUAGGACUCCAGCUAGCCUUGAUCAAAAAAAUUUAUACAUAGGCAUAUAAUAGUUAGGAUUCCAGAAAUCCAACAGGAGAACAAAAUUCUACAAGCAGUGAGAGAAAAGAAACAAAUCACAUACAAAGGAAAGCCCAUCAGAAUCACAGCAGACUUCUCAAUGCAAACCCUCAAGGUAAGAAGAGCUUGGAGUGAUGUAUUUCAAGCUCUAAAGGAAAACAGCCUCCAACCCAGAUUGAUAUACCCUGCAAAACUAUCUUUCAAAAUCGAUGGAGAAAUAAGAUACUUUCAUGAUAAAGAGCACCUGAGGAACUUCAUGAAUACCAAACUGGCACUCCAAAAAAUUUUAGGCAAUACCCUAGGAAAAGACAAUGAGGAUCACAACCCCAGGAAACCCAGCAGAAUGAAUCCAUUGGGUGUGACAAAUUAAACGCAAAGCGGGAGAAUCCAACAAAAAAAAAGUCAUGACAAGGCUUUUAAAACUUUUGACUUCAUCUCCCUAAUGAGUGUAUAAUUCAAUCUUAUUAUUGUACUGAUUAGUAUUUUUCUGAUUCUAGAGUUGCACACCAUUCCUCGUGCUAUACUAUUUAUCAUCUUCUUAUGUCUACAUUUUAAUUGGGUUGUCUAUUAAUGAGCUCUAAGAAUUCUUUAUAUAUUCUGGUCAUAGGUUAUAUGCAUUGUAAAUAUGGUCUCUUUAAGGACUACUUUUCAUUUUAAUGAUGUCAUUUAAAGUUCUAAGUUUUGAUGGAAUCUCAUUUAUCAAUUUUUUUCUUUUAUACAUCAUGUCUUUUGUAUCCUAGGUAGUUCUUGCCUACCCUGAAUUCAUAAACAUUUUCCCUUAUAAUUUCUUCUUAAAGUUUUAUACUUUUAGGCUUUCUUAUUUAGGUUCAUCAAUCCCUUCAAGUUAUUUUCAUGUAUGGAAAAAGAGUUGAGGUUAAUUUUUUAUAUACGGAUACCAGGUGUUCUAGUGCCAUUUGCGGAAAACACUAUCUCUUCCUUGGCUCUUGAAUUGAGUUUAUAUUCUAUAAAAUGCUAAUGUUAAAUAAUCUUUCAAAACUCAGUGGAUCAUAUAUGUGUGGUUCUAUUUCUAGAUUCUCUGUUUUAUUCAAAUGAUUUAUAUGUCUUUCCUUACACCAGCACUGCCUUGAUUACUGUAGCUUUAGAAGAAGUUUUAAAAUUAGGUACUAAAUGUCUUCCAACACUGUUUUUUUUUUUUUAAAAAAAAACUUUUCUAGGUCCUUUGUACUCCUACAUAACUUUUAAAUUUCAAUAUACAAUUCUUUACUUAUAGCAAAUAUAUACAGGCCUGAAUUUUUAUAUAUACCUUGUGUUUUCUAAUCCUGCUAAAUUCAAGUACAAGUUCUAGGGGCUCCUAGAGAUUUCUUAGUAUUUUCUCUGUAGAUGAUCAUUUCAUCUACAUGUAAAGAUUUUGCUUCUGCCAUGCCAAUCCUAUCCUAGUUGUGUCAUUUUAUUGCCAGACUAUUUUGGUGGGGACUAGGUUUCAAAGUAUAAUGGACAGAUAAAGAGUAAGCAAAUCUGCCAUUGUUCCCCACCUUAAGGAGAAAGCAUUGUAUAUUCUCCAUUUAUAUAAGGCAUUCUCACUGGAAGUAUGGAGUACAUCUUUAAUCUGUUGAGAAGUUUCUGUUCUACUUCUAGUCUCCUGAUAGCUUUUACCAUGAACAGCUGUAGAAUUUAGUCCGAUACUUUUUCUCCAACUAGUGACAGGAUCAUAUGGCUUUUUCCUUUCCUCUGUUAAAAUGCUGACUUUUGGGGGUGGAUCUUCCAAUGCUGAACCAACACUGCCAUCCCUAUAACAAAAAAACUUUCUACAUCCUACCAGAUCUGACUUCCAAUAGUUUUUGUUGUUAAACAAAUUUCUAUCUAUGUUCAUACAUUUUUCUUCUAUUAUCUUUAUCCAGUUUUAGGAUUAGCACAAUGUUGAGUUCCUAAAAUGAAGGGAGAAGUGGUCCUUCUUUUUUCUGCUUUAAUUGUUUGAUAUAAUUUAUCAGUUAAAAUGUUUAUGAGCCUCCUGUUGUCAUAUAGGUAGGUUUUCAAGCUAGGAAUAUACUUUCUUUAAUAGGUGCUAUUCAAAUUUUAUAUUUCCUCCAGAGCUAGUUUCAUUAAUUUGUCUUCCAAAGUACUUCUUAGAAGUUGUCAAAUUUAUUUCAAAACAGAUUUUUGUAAUAUGCUUUCUAUAUCCUUUUAAAUUCUGUAAAAUCUGUGGUAAUGUCUCCUAGAUCUUGAUAUUGUAAUUUUAAAAAUGUAUAACUGAUAUUGUGUAACAGGAAGAAAAGGUCUAAAAGAGCAGGGGAAUUGGGAGAGGUAGGGGAAGGGAAAAAAGAGAAAGGAAAAAAUAUGAGAAGAAAAAAAUGGAAACAAG
ensembl:lncRNA